UACAGAGGGUGCGAGCGUUGUCCGGAAUCACUGGGCGUAAAGGGCGCGUAGGUGGCGCGACAAGUCAGUGGUGAAAGCUCGGCGCUCAACGCCGAGUCGGCCACUGAUACUGUUGGGCUUGAGCACUGUAGAGGCUAAUGGAAUUCCUGGUGUAGCGGUGGAAUGCGCAGAUAUCAGGAGGAACACCAAUAGCGAAGGCAGCUCGCUGGGACGUUACUGACACUGAGGCGCGAAAGCGUGGGGGAGCAAACAGG
rnacentral:rRNA from 1 species